AAAGGAGGGGGACUUGCCGUGCUCAUAAACAACAGGUGACCUGAUGAAGCUCAGGUGUUCCUGGACCCAUCAGAGGACAGAGACAGCUGCAGCAUCAGGACAGUCUGGGUAUCCAAAGGAAGACUGAUGAAGAUGAACACUGACUGCAGAGCUCCAUUACCAGCUCACACUUCAGUAUACUAGAAACCAUAAACCUUGAUGGAGAACAUGAUCUGCACAGUUUACAUAAAAGUUAUAGCUUUGUUACUUACAACAUAUGUAACUGGAAUAUGAAUGAAAUAUAAAUAAAGUGUUUUACUUUUAAGAA